UGGGGAAUAUUGGACAAUGGGGGGAACCCUGAUCCAGCCAUGCCGCGUGUGUGAAGAAGGCCUUAUGGUUGUAAAGCACUUUAAGCGAGGAGGAGGGUACUGGCAUUAAUACUACCAGGUACUGGACGUUACUCGCAGAAUAAGCACCGGCUAACUCUGUGCCAGCAGCCGCGGUAAUACAGAGGGUGCGAGCGUUAAUCGGAUUUACUGGGCGUAAAGCGUGCGUAGGCGGCUAAUUGAGUCGGAUGUGAAAUCCCCGAGCUUAACUUGGGAAUUGCAUUCGAUACUGGUUAGCUAGAGUGUAGGAGAGGAUGGUAGAAUUCCAGGUGUAGCGGUGAAAUGCGUAGAGAUCUGGAGGAAUACCGAUGGCGAAGGCAGCCAUCUGGCCUAACACUGACGCUGAAGUACGAAAGCAUGGGGAGCAAACAGG
rnacentral:rRNA from 1 species